GGUGUCUUGCCCGAGUGGUUAAGGGGUUAGUCUUGAAAACCAAUUGUUUCAAGGCGUUUAUCACGCUGGAUAACUAAUGCUCUCUGAGCGCACAAGUUCAAAUCUUGUAGGCACCG
rfam:Tstilago hordei, Th4857-4, WGS project CAGI01000000 data, contig: THOR_scaffold_5.00007